CACGUAGGUGGCAAGCGUUGUCCGGAUUUACUGGGCGUAAAGAGCGCGCAGGCGGUCGUUCAAGUCGCGUGUGAAAGCCCCCGGCUCAACUGGGGAGGGUCACGCGAUACUGAUCGACUCGAAGGCAGGAGAGGGUAGUGGAAUUCCCGGUGUAGUGGUGAAAUGCGUAGAUAUCGGGAGGAACACCAGUGGCGAAGGCGGCUUUCUGGCCUGUUCUUGACGCUGAGGCGCGAAAGCUAGGGGAGCGAACGGG
rnacentral:rRNA from 1 species